rnacentral:rRNA from 1 species
CGAAAGGGAGAGUAACGCGUAGAUAUGUACCCUAGGGUCUGGGAUAGCGUCGGGAAACUGGCGGUAAUACCGGAUAAUGUCCCCGGACCAAAGGUUUACUGCCCUAGGAGCAGUCUGCGUCCUACUAGCUUGUUGGUGGGGUAAUGGCCUACCAAGGCAAUGAUGGGUAGCGGGCGUGAGAGCGUGACCCGUCUCACUGGGACUGAGACACUGCCCAGACACCUACGGGUGGCUGCAGUCGAGAAUCUUCCGCAAUGGACGAAAGUCUGACGGAGCGACGCCGCGUGCGGGAUGAAGGCCCUCGGGUUGUAAACCGCUGUCAGAGGGGAGGAAAUUUUGACCGAACCUCAGAGGAAGUCCGGGCUAAGUUCGUGCCAGCAGCCGCGGUAACACGAACCGGACAAACGUUAUUCGGAAUUACUGGGCUUAAAGAGUGCGUAGGCGGCCAUGUAGGUGGGGUGUGAAAGCCCACGGCUCAACCGUGGAAUAGCGCUCCAAACCACUUGGCUUGAGGGAGACAGGGGUAAGCGGAACUGAUGGUGGAGCGGUGAAAUGCGUUGAUAUCACCAGGAACACCAGUGGCGAAGGCGGCUUACUGGGUCUCUACUGACGCUGAGGCACGAAAGCUAGGGUAGCGAACAGGAUUAGAUACCCUGG